UACACGUAGGUAGGGAAAUAUUACAAAAAUAAAAUAGUAUCCUAUCUGCCUUAUACGUAGCUGCAACUGAUUCAUACUAUGGGCCACAAACAUAAACAUUCCCUUCCCCCUUCCCUGAAGGAACCACAUGACGGGACCGCAGAGUCAAGUGGUAUUAAACCGUGCGUUCCCUUCCCCCUUCGUGCGGACCACUCGCGGAAAGGUUGGUAUGUCGGAAGGGGUGGAGUGCGCUUCUUCAUCUUCAUUUAUGUUGGUUUGUUUACAUUUGUACAUGUGCCAACCCGCGAAAGAAGAAGAGAAGUGAAGUUUAUUCUUCCGAUUAUUGGACCAGAAAUGGAAGACCUAUCAGCAUAAGUUCUCGGAGACAAGACAGCAUUUACUUGCUCUCCAAGUGAAACAUAUGGAAGCAAGACUGGAAGAAGCAGAAGAAAGGAAGGAAGAGGCUAGGAUUAGGACAUGUAUAGCAAAAGUAGAACUUGAACAGUUACAAGAAAGGAAGGAAGAGGCUAAAAUUAGAACAGAAAUAGCAAAGAAAGAACUUGAAAAGCUAAACAAUAGUUAAGCCAGAUCCCUUGGAAUACGAUAUUGGGUAAUUUAAGGAAUGAAUCAAACUAUGAAUUACAUUUUGUUUUAAUUAACAAUGAAGAUAAAGGUUUUACAAGAACAUACAUACACACUGAACAGCAGCUAAAUAAAUUUGGCAGUCCAUGAGGACCAUGAAGCGUUGCUGUACUCAAGCCCAAGUGCAGACUGCAGUGUUGCACCCUAAAUACAUACAACAAUAAUGAUGGUUUCACAGAAGUGGGCUCACCUGGUUCAAUAAUGCGAAGAAAAACACUGAGGAGAAUCGGCGUCAGCGAGUGGGGAAGGGGGAAGAGGCGGGCUGCGCUGCUCCUUCGCCGCUCCCCUUCCCCCGCGUGGCAAAGGACUCUCUCGCGGCCCAAAAUGCUCUAUGUUUACAGUUUGUGUGACGAAGGAUCCUCAUGCCCGGGGAAGGGGGAAGGGAAUGUUUAUGUUUGUGGCAGCUUAUCUCAUGAUUUCAUUCAUCACACACUGUCAUAUACUACUCUGUCAUGUUGUCAUGUUUCCACAACAUUUCCUGUUUGUAAAGGCAAGCAAGUAUAAUUAAUUGGUUAACUCACAUUGCAUCUUGUAUACUUGUCACACCAGAAGUGUUAGUUUGGAUCAAGGAAACCAGAUCAGCUCUAUCAGCAAGUACACUGGUGAUAUAACGGCGUUGUAUUCUUCAUUUUGGGCAAUGGAUUUGUGUGUGAUAUCCACAGCCUAUUAUUCCUUGAUAAUUAUUAUCAACAAAAUAAAGCCAGAAAUUGUUUAAAGGGUUACUCAGACAUUACAUUGGCAAAUGAGUUUUUGACUUUCUUUCACAAUAAGAUUCAAGCAAUAGUUGACGGUUUUCAUGGUACAUCCCUGCAACUUUACUCUGAGUACUUGCCUGACUUUCCGUUUUGUGGUUUUUCAGGUUUUAUGCCCAUUACCUCUAAUGAACUUGACUUGAUUUUCAGCAGAGUUAAGAAGACUUACUGUAACAGUGACCCUAUGCUAAUCUCGGACCUGAUGCAGGAUAGAGAUUUUUCAAUUAUAGCAAAUGUUAUAUUAAAAAUUGUUAAUCUGAGUAUUACAGAAUGUGUUUUCCCAUCAAGUGAAAAGGUAGCCAUUGUUAAGCCAACUUUAAAGGGGAAUGUAAACCACCAAGAGCUUAGUUCCUACAGACCUGUUUCUAACUUAUCAUUUUUAUCAAAAAUCCUUGAAAAUGUAAUAUUAGAUCAAUUAAUGGAAUACUUGACAAAUGUUAAUGUUUUGCCAGAUAAUCAGUCUGCAUACAGACAGUUAUACUCAACUGAGACUGCACCCUGUCAUGUUGUAAAUUCUUUGUUGGUAUGUGUGGAUGAAGGGCACUGUGGUGUCCUAGUCUUGUUGGAUCUGAGUGCUGCAUUUGAUACUGUUGUGCAUGAGUUGUUACUUGAGGAUUUACAUGCUGUUGGAGUGACUGAUGAUGCUCUGCAAUACUUGAGAAGCUAUUUAGAGGAUAGGAAGUAUUGUGUACAGGUUGGUAAUGUUUUAUCUGAGACAAGGCCAUUACGGAGAGGAGUGCCUCAAGGUAGUGUGCUUGGUCCAGUGUUAUGUCCAUUAAUAAUGUGCAGGAUACUGAGAGUAAACUUUCUAGGAUUAUGUUUGAUGUUAAGAUAUGGAUGGAUGGAAAACAGCUGAAAUUUAAUGAUGACAAAACGGAAUGUUUGAUAGUUGGUAAAAAGUGUGAUAUGAGGAGGUUGAAUGACAUACAAGGUUUUAAUUUUAAUGGGAGGAAUGUAGUGAUUUCUGAUAAAGUGAAAAAUUUGGGUGUUGUUAUGGAUAAAUACUUAAAUUUUAAUGAUCAUAUUAAUGAUGUAACAAGAAUUGCUAGGUACCAUCUCCAUAACAUUGCAUUUAUAAGAAAAUACCUUGAUGAUAAUUAUGUCAAAAUGUUAAUUCAUAACUAUGUCAUUAGUAGAAUUGACUACUGUAAUUCAUUAUACUUAAAUUUACCAAAUUACCAAUUGAAAAAGUUACAAGUGAUCAUGAAUAAAGCAGCUAGAUUAAUUAAAAGAGUACCACUGUAUGAGAGAAUCACACCAACUCUUAUUGAACUACACUGGUUGCCUAUCAAGGCUAGAAUUGUAUUCAAAAUUUGUGUCCUGACUUAUCAAGCUGUUAAAACUGGUAAACCACAGUAUUUGAGUGACCUACUGUAAAAAUUGGAGAAUAAUGCCAAUGUAGUUGUGAGACAUGCACAUGAUGUAAACAGACUGUUUGAACCAAGAUGUAAUUCUGGGAUUGGUGCAAGAACAUUUCAGUACAGUGCUCCAAGGUUAUACAAUGCACUACCUAAUGAUAUAAAGUGCAGUGAGAAUGUUGUAGUUUUUAAGAAAAGGUUAAAAACAUUUAUAUUCAGAGAAUGUUAUGACGUGGAGGAGAUGUGCAUCACUGAACGUUAUGCAUUGUAAUGGGCGAUGAUGAUUUAUAUGGUUAUUGUGUUUACUUUUCAUAUGUUCAAUUUCAUUUCUUUAGCCACUUAUAUCUUCAUUUCUUAUUUGGAUAAAUGAAUCUGAUUUGUAUAUUUUUUAUAUUAUGUUUUUCAUAUGUCUAUGUCUAUACAUUUAUUUACAUAUCUCAUGCAGUGAUGGAUGGACUUGUUAUCUUUUUUGUUAAGAAGAGGAUUUCUCUGUGAUUAUUAUUAUAAGGUGCAAUGUAGUUUUUAAGCCCUUAGGUUAGGUUAGGUUAAGUUCUAUUUAUUAGUAUAUAUUUUUUUAUUUUCAUUUGUAUGCAUUUAGGACAACUAUGUAUAUAUAAUUUUGUAUGAGGCCCUGUAGAGCACCAUUUACUGGUGGAAUAGAGCCUAGAAAACAAAACAAAACAAUAAACAAUAAUAAUUUUGGCUAA